CCCUAGCCCCGAUAGUAGUGGAAAUCCUUUUGUGCCGGGGUUCGGCACAAAAGAUUGAAACGGAUAGCGGGAUUAGAU
rnacentral:sRNA from 1 species